ensembl:ncRNA F09D5.4 ncRNA
GGAAAUGAAGUGAAAGAUGGGAAAAGGAAGGCAAAAAGGUAAAGGAAGUUUUGAACUGCUCCGUCUCCCUUUAAAAGAAUAAAGGCAUGUGUGGGAUAGUGAAGAGCGGCAAUGCGUUCGUUUUAGGCAGUCGUUAAUGCAGUACGCGGCAAGUACGCUUAUGCAUCGAGAAUAUGGGAAAUGCCGUACUAAAUCGGAUUGGCGUAACGUAACUUAACUCGAUCAAGAAUGAGUCGAAUGCUUUGUGAUG